CACCUCUCAUUCAUUUCUCUGAUUCUCUCUUCUCCCAUUUGCUCUCUCUUUUUUCUUUUUUCCUUUCCCAUUUUCGAUUGAUUCCCUCUUGAAAAAGAGUUUUGCAAGUCCUUAGAGCAGUAGCAUUUAGCAUCUUGGAGGCCUCUAGCUGGCAAAACAAAGCAAAAGGAAGGGGACGUACACUAGUCUAACUACGGAGAAACACCAUAAUUAUCUUCUAGUUCCUUUCUCUUUAAUUUGUUUCGAGAUUAUGAACAUGUUUACUAAUUGUUUUGAUGCUUCCGAUUUAAUUAAAAUGACAUAAACUGUGUUUGUGCUCAAUUGAUCACAUUCUGUCCGCUUAAAUUAUUGAAAUUAUGUUUUGAU
rnacentral:lncRNA from 1 species